rnacentral:rRNA from 1 species
AUUGAACGCUGGCGGCAGGCCUAACACAUGCAAGUCGAACGGUAACAGGAAACAGCUUGCUGUUUCGCUGACGAGUGGCGGACGGGUGAGUAAUGUCUGGGAAACUGCCUGAUGGAGGGGGAUAACUACUGGAAACGGUAGCUAAUACCGCAUAACGUCGCAAGACCAAAGAGGGGGACCCUCGGGCCUCUUGCCAUCGGAUGUGCCCAGAUGGGAUUAGCUUGUUGGUGGGGUAACGGCUCACCAAGGCGACGAUCCCUAGCUGGUCUGAGAGGAUGACCAGCCUCACUGGAACUGAGACACGGUCCAGACUCCUACGGGAGGCAGCAGUGGGGAAUAUUGCACAAUGGGCGCAAGCCUGAUGCAGCCAUGCCGCGUGUAUGAAGAAGGCCUUCGGGUUGUAAAGUACUUUCAGCGGGGAGGAAGGGAGUAAAGUUAAUACCUUUGCUCAUUGACGUUACCCGCAGAAGAAGCACCGGCUAACUCCGUG